rnacentral:rRNA from 1 species
ACGGGUGAGUAACACGUGGGUAACCUGCCUGUAAGACUGGGAUAACUCCGGGAAACCGGAGCUAAUACCGGAUAGUUCCUUGAACCGCAUGGUUCAAGGAUGAAAGACGGUUUCGGCUGUCACUUACAGAUGGACCCGCGGCGCAUUAGCUAGUUGGUGAGGUAACGGCUCACCAAGGCGACGAUGCGUAGCCGACCUGAGAGGGUGAUCGGCCACACUGGGACUGAGACACGGCCCAGACUCCUACGGGAGGCAGCAGUAGGGAAUCUUCCGCAAUGGACGAAAGUCUGACGGAGCAACGCCGCGUGAGUGAUGAAGGUUUUCGGAUCGUAAAGCUCUGUUGUUAGGGAAGAACAAGUGCAAGAGUAACUGCUUGCACCUUGACGGUACCUAACCAGAAAGCCACGGCUAACUACGUGCCAGCAGCCGCGGUAAUACGUAGGUGGCAAGCGUUGUCCGGAAUUAUUGGGCGUAAAGGGCUCGCAGGCGGUUUCUUAAGUCUGAUGUGAAAGCCCCCGGCUCAACCGGGGAGGGUCAUUGGAAACUGGGAAACUUGAGUGCAGAAGAGGAGAGUGGAAUUCCACGUGUAGCGGUGAAAUGCGUAGAGAUGUGGAGGAACACCAGUGGCGAAGGCGACUCUCUGGUCUGUAACUGACGCUGAGGAGCGAAAGCGUGGGGAGCGAACAGGAUUAGAUACCCUGGUAGUCCACGCCGUAAACGAUGAGUGCUAAGUGUUAGGGGGUUUCCGCCCCUUAGUGCUGCAGCUAACGCAUUAAGCACUCCGCCUGGGGAGUACGGUCGCAAGACUGAAACUCAAAGGAAUUGACGGGGGCCCGCACAAGCGGUGGAGCAUGUGGUUUAAUUCGAAGCAACGCGAAGAACCUUACCAGGUCUUGACAUCCUCUGACAACCCUAGAGAUAGGGCUUUCCCUUCGGGGACAGAGUGACAGGUGGUGCAUGGUUGUCGUCAGCUCGUGUCGUGAGAUGUUGGGUUAAGUCCCGCAACGAGCGCAACCCUUGAUCUUAGUUGCCAGCAUUCAGUUGGGCACUCUAAGGUGACUGCCGGUGACAAACCGGAGGAAGGUGGGGAUGACGUCAAAUCAUCAUGCCCCUUAUGACCUGGGCUACACACGUGCUACAAUGGACAGAACAAAGGGCUGCGAGACCGCAAGGUUUAGCCAAUCCCACAAAUCUGUUCUCAGUUCGGAUCGCAGUCUGCAACUCGACUGCGUGAAGCUGGAAU